GGUCUGCACGUGAUUUCGCGUACAGUUUUAGAAAUGCUACACAAUACUUGAGAAAGGGCGAGUAUUAUGAGAAUAUGAGUAUAUCAAUAUGCAAUAGUAGUUUUUAUCCGAUUGAUAUUCUGAUCAAUACUUAGCCUAAUAAAUAAUUUAUUUGUCUUUUAUCCAUAGCUCUGUAGCGAAGCACGAGCAUUUUGCUAGUAUAUAUAAAAAAACAGAGUAAAGAAAUCGUAAGCAUAUCAUUGACAUAAAUUAAAUAUAUAAUUUUGGGGGCCCUAAUUAUAUUUUUAAGGAUCUUGUACGGUGGCACAUCUUAAACGUAGGGACAGUCCUCUGUACGAAAACAAGGCUAAAUUAAAUACGCGCGCGAACCGGGACUCCUCUCUCAAAUCCCGCUAAAACUACUAUCAAAUUGUUGCAGAUCGAGGAUGGUUUGAACUAUGGACUUCCUUACAGAGAUGGAAAAAAUUUGUGUGCUCCGCAUAUAUACACUAAUACACACAUCGAUCAACAUCAAGUGGCGCACGUACGUAGCUAGCCUUCCAAAGACCAUGCAAACUUCUCCACUCAGGCUCCACCCCUCCACUCGGGCAUGGGUCGCAUGCAGUUGCCGUCACGAGGCUAGCUGCACGCGCCUUCGACGACACAACGUACGGGUAUUUCUUUUUCCGUGUAGUGUCUCCUCGAGAAACGUAGAGGCAGCCGUCCACGCGUUUAAUUAGAACGGAGUCAAACACUAGUUAGACCUGUACUCCAUGCGGUACACUGCAUGCACGCUGUCCGAUUACGUGUUCCACGGAUCGGAUCCGUUGUUCUCUUGAACCGCGGAUAAAACAAUGGUGCGAGCACCGCAUUUCUGCAGUGAAGAAACCCCCUUUUCCUCUGCAUGCAGUCAAGAGAUGAUCCGGGCUACUAGCUUUUUUCUCAGAUAUUGUUACAUGCACGUUACAUGCCUUCAACCACAGCCUCGUAGUACAAUGUUGCUUCACUCUUGUUUACGAUAGUACACCGCUAAGGAUCAGGGUGUCUGGAAAAACAAAGAAAAUAUCUUACAGCGUUUCUUUACGAUGAAAGCAAGAAUGAAAUGAUGAAUAGUGAAUGAUUUCUGAUAAUUAUUCGAAAGUAAUUUAUACUAUAUAUGAAGUUCUUUCUUUAGAAAAACACCAUUUAGAAACUGGGGAGGCAUUUGCCACUAUACCAUUCUCAUAUAAUGAAUAGGCACUACUAAAAUACCUACUUAGGUGCCUGUUGGAAACCCCACAUGGAUACCGGAUUCCCCGACCGGCACCGAUGAGGUGCAUGGUUUGAAAAAAAAAAACUGGAUUAGCUUGAUUUGAACAAAUGCUUCGAGCCCAAAUAUUUCCCAAAUUUUUCUUCAUCAAACACAUUAUUAUUAUCAACAUCACAAAUCACAAAAUGAAUCAUAAAUUUUUGGCAUAAUGCAAUAAUACUCAAAUUAGAAUACAUCUGCUACCCAAUACCUAACUAUCCAUUGCAGCAUCAAAGGGAAAAACAACAUCCCCAAAUCCUUAACAGAUAAGAGAACCGAAUAAACUAAAGAUCCCCAAAUCCUCAAGAUCAGCCGUCGCUUGUUGUUGGUUGUUGCCUCCAUCAUCGUGGUCCCAUCCGCUAUAGUCCGGAUCUAGCCUUAAUUAAGCUUGCAUCAGCGCUCGACUGGGAGAAGGAGACGGGGAGCUUGUGGCAGCAGAUUUCCCUGCCCUCGAGCUUGUGGCGACGGAUCAGCUGGCAUGAGGAAGUGAGGAGGAGGAGGCGAUGCUGACUGCGGAUGCGAGAAGUGGUUGUAGUGGUGGAUGCGAGGAGUGGUUUGAGGCGGCAGUGGAUGCGAUGAGGAGGGAGGACGCGUCCGGGACGACGCUAUGUGAGGUAGAGAGACGAGGCGGAUUAUGUGAUCGAGUCACGCGUGGAUGCAAUCGAGUCUCGUGUUAAAAAAGUAGGGCAGCUGGCUGUCUGGUGGGCUCGACUCCCUCUAAGAGAUCGAUUUUUUAAUAAAUCGACACCAAUGUCCUACAUAUGAGUGAGCUUUUUUGUCACGCCUCGAACUAGUCUCGACCGGAACUAGCCCGUGACGCUCCAAAUUAACCUGUUAAUCGAUACCAGUCCCAGGAAACAGUGCUGGUAUCACAGAGAGACAGAGUAUCACAGCAACAGAGGUCUCUUUAUUAUAGAGUAGAAGUACAGUCAUGUUGGGCUGCGGACAGAUCCCGAGCUCACAACUGCAUUACAAAAGGAAAGCGGAAGCCAGGACUUGGACCAAUCAUCACAGGCGCGACUUGGGAACUAGGCCGAAACCCUAAAACUCAUCGUAGCCGACUUGCUCCUGGAAGAACUCCUCGUCAGCAGGAUCCACUUCAUCUUCUUCAGCAACUGGGGGGGAUUAUUUAUAUAGAGCAAGGGUGAGUACGGGAGUACUCAGCAAGCCAGGGGAAAUAAGUGUUUAAUGCAGGCUUCAAGGAAAGGCUGUUGUUUUCGCAAUUUAUUUUAUUUGAACUCUUUUUCUAAAACAACUAGGUGAGUGCUUCUCAAACGACACGGAUGAGACAGUGCGUCUCGUCCGGUCGGAGUAUGUGCAAUGUAUCAGUCUUUAGAAUUGAAACAAGGUUGGCACCCGGCCAACAGCUUUUCAAACGGCCACCCGGGCCAACAACUUUUCAAACGGCCAUCCGGGCCUAGCUGAUCCCGUCAGCUGCUGAUUUUUCAAACAUCGAACCAAUUUUCACAACAGCAAUUUCACAAGCAGUAGUCAAACAAAACUACGCUAGGAAUCACCUCACAUCCACCCAUGACCGUGGGCACGGCUGUUCGAACAGUUUGUUAACCUCUGCAGAGGGGGUACACUUUACCCACACGACAUUACUAACCCGGAUCACCCAGCCCGUGGGGAUCAGCCACGUCGGGAGACCUCCAAGCUUUCAUGACAAGGCAUUUCGAAAGCCGACACAGGUUUACCAUAUGCCGACAAGAGGGGUCCUAGACCAACAACAGGUUAGGUCCCAGACCUUACUGUGCCAGGAAGCCCAGGGGUCCUCCCCGAUACCACCCCGGUGAAUCCACAUGUCUCUCGGCAUCAAGGCUCCCCUGAUAAGCUAGUUACUCAGCCAGGGGUGUCCCAUUCCACCCAUGUGGUCGUACUUGUCUUAUGUUCGGAUGAAAUUCUAAGGAAACGGUCCUUAAGUGCAAGAGCGGGGAAAACUGUACACCCGGUACGUUCCCCGGUCCGCGGUUUUGGAAAUUCAUUUAGUUCGCAAGCACCGACCCAGGUGUCGGGUUUUCCAAGUCUUUUGUAAAACUCCAGUUUUACCCAAGUGGUUACUCAGAUUUUAAGUUUGAAGGCGACCGUCGAUACUCGCACAGAGUGCACGAAUAUCGAGGCGCAACUGGGUGGUUACAAGGGGACAUGGUAUAGCAAUUAACAAUGGAAGGAUCAAAUGCAACAAGUCAGGUAGGUCCGCCAAUCUGCCUUGCAGAUGGGACAAAAGAUUAAGUGCGAUCCUAUCAAUGCAUAAUAUUUUGCAAGCAAUAUAAUUAAAUUUCAAAUAUAGGCUCAAGAUGUUCAAAGGUGGCUUGCCUUGCUCGAGAUCUGGAGCUUGAUCCUCGAAAUCCUCGCACUGCGGGUCUUCGGGCUCUGAAACUAUACGCGAAACGGAACAACUCAACAAACGACGAAAAUAAAGCCCUAUUAAUGACCUCUAAGCGCGCCAUUAGAUAGAUCUCGAGAUUUGGGGAAUUUUGGAAGUUGAACGGAGUCAAACGGAUUUACGGUUGGGAAGAUAUUGAAUUUCUACGAUCAUUGAAUUUUUGAUCUAAAGGAAAAGGAUUUAAUUAAAUUCUUUUUGGAAAAGAAAAAGAAAAGAAGGGAGGGAGGGAAUAUAGACUUUUCUCGGACGGCUAAGGCGCGGCCCAAGAGAAAUGGAGCGGUCCGGCCGAGCUAAAUGGGCCGGCCGGCCCAAGGCGGCCCAAACUCGCGCGCGCGCGGAAGGGAGGAGAGAGAGAGCCGGUGGACCGGGCUCACCACGCGCGGUCCCGGGUGGGACCCGCUUGUCAGCGGCUCGGCUCACCGUGCGGAGGGAGUACGUGGCUUAUGCGCGCGGGCGGGGGAGGGACGCGGUGCACGCGCGCGGCUCGCGGUGGACGCGGAUGCGGCGGGCCCACGCGCAGCCUCCCGGCUCGCGGUGGAACGCGCGCACGGGGAGGGACUGACCGGGGUCGGCUCGACCCGGUCUAGGCUGAGCUGGCGCCGACGUGGCGCCUACGUGGCGGCCACGUGGGCUGGCGGGAGGUAGACGACGACCCAGCCGCGAAUGGACGACGGGCGGCGGCGGCGAGCGGCGGAGCGAACCACGGUGAUACGGGCAAAAGCGAGCACACCGGGUGGUUGCACGUGAUGAGGGAAGACGAGCCAACGGCUCGGAUUCGCCGGAGGGAGCUUGACGGCGGCGAAUCGCGGCGGCGACAACCGGCGGGGAGGGAAGAGGGAAACGGCGGCGAGGCCACGAGGGGUCGAUUCCCGGCGGUGAGAGCAUCUACGCGGCUUCGGGAACUCGACGCUAGCGUCGGAUUGGGCGGAACUACGCCGAGCGAGGCCGGCGACAAGCGGGUGCUACGGAGCUCGGGCGGCGACGGCGGCGAGCACACGGCGAGCGACGGCAACGGUCGGGGCGGCGUCGGCUAACUACGGGGAGUCUACUCAAGCUACUACCGAAAGCUAGGGGGAGGAGAUGGAGCGAGGAGGAAGAACGGAGGGAGGCACUACCGUGAUGAGGAGGGGCGCUGUGACGAGAGGCCGGCGGCGCGGGAGUAAUCUCUCCGGCCUCGGGCCGGGGAAGAGGAAGGAGAGGGCGCGGCCGAAGUCCCCUUCCGCGUCCUCGAACGCACCGGCUCUCCCGGCGCUUGGCGAAGGACGGCGGAGGCGAGACAGAGCACGGGGGCGGCGGCAACGGUGAGGAGGCGAAUGGGAGAGGAAGGGAAAGGGGGAGGCUUGGGUUUAUAGGAUGGCAAUGUCGGUUUGGGAACCGACUUAGGGCGGUCAAGGGCGCGAGCUGGCGCUCGGCGGUCGCGGCCAAAGCGGCGACAGGGAGGAUGACGCCGGCGAGGAGGAAAAAGGGGAAAAGGAGGGGGAGAAAGGGGGCUUGCCCCUUUGCCGAUUCGGGAAAAAGGGGGAGGGGAGCGGGGGCGACGCGGCAGAGAGAGGAGGGGCGCGGCCUCCUUCCCUUGGCGGCUUGCGCGCGGAGUGGCGGGGGCCGGGCGGUGACGACGGCGAUGACGGCGGGCGGUUUGGAGCGGAGCGGCGACACUGGCGACAGGCGCGGCAGACGCUGACGACGGCGGCGACCGGGCGGUCGGCCACUCGGCGCGCGCGCGCGGGAAACAACGGGCGGCGUCCGCGCGGGCGCGCGCACGCGAACACGGCGCGCGGGAAGCGUCUUUGCGAGCGGGGAGCUCGCGCGAGGGGAGGGGCGCUCGGCGCGGGCGACUCCCGCGCACGCGCGCGCGGUGCGCGGGCGGGGCGGAGGGGGGAGCGGGGAGAGAGGCGCUCGGGGCGGCUCUCGCACGCGCGAGCAGCGUGCGG
rnacentral:lncRNA from 1 species